rnacentral:rRNA from 1 species
UGGUAGAGUGAUUUGUCUGGUUGAUUCCGUUAACGAACGAGAUCUUGACGGCUUAAUGACAGUUUGAUCGACAUGUAGUUCAGUGCACUUGCGCUUGCGUAACGUUGCUGGAUGAGAUCUUGUCUUGUACUUAGCCGGACGAUGCAUGUUUACAAUGCAUGGAAGUGCGAGCCAAUAGCA